AUUGAACGCUGGCGGCAUGCCUUACACAUGCAAGUCGAACGGCAGCACGGGAGCAAUCCUGGUGGCGAGUGGCGAACGGGUGAGUAAUAUAUCGGAACGUGCCCAGUCGUGGGGAUAACGUAGCGAAAGCUACGCUAAUACCGCAUACGAUCUAUGGAUGAAAGCGGGGGAUCGCAAGACCUCGCGCGAUUGGAGCGGCCGAUAUCAGAUUAGGUAGUUGGUGAGGUAAAGGCUCACCAAGCCGACGAUCUGUAGCUGGUCUGAGAGGACGACCAGCCACACUGGAACUGAGACACGGUCCAGACUCCUACGGGAGGCAGCAGUGGGAAUUUUGGACAAUGGACGCAAGUCUGAUCCAGCCAUUCCGCGUGCAGGAUGAAGGCCCUCGGGUUGUAAACUGCUUUUGUACGGAACGAAAAGGUUUCUAUUAAUACUAGGAGCUCAUGACGGUACCGUAAGAAUAAGCACCGGCUAACUACGUGCCAG
rnacentral:rRNA from 1 species